GUCAUGUUAUCCCUGGAGUAGAAAACCCAGAGACGGCUACUUUCCAGGGUCCUGCAUCUGGGGUGCAAGUGAGGCACACGCAGAUGAGACUCCACCUGCCCUGGGCAGCUUUCCUGAGCCUUGAGAAACCAGCUCACCAUGAAUCCAAGGUGUCUGCUGUUCCUUGCCACCAUUUCAUGGAACCUGUUGUAUGUACCUAUUCAUGUUUUCCAUGUUUCAAAUAUGACUGAACCUGACAUAUAUAAGAACGCAAAAGAUUCUUCAAAAUCAAACUGUGUCCGGAAUUGGUGGGUUCUUGGUCUCACUGACUUCAAGAAUGAAGCCACGGACCCUGGCGGUGAGUGUUACAGCUCUUAAGGUGGCGUUUCUGGAGUCUGUCCCUUCUGAUGUUCAGAUGUGUUCGGAGUUUCUUCCUUCUGGUGGGUUCGUGGUCUCGCUGGCUCAGGAGUGAAGCUGCAGAUCUUCACGGUUGCUAGUAACACAAUAAUAAAGCUGCUUUAUUUUCCAGUGAAGAUGUAUGUGAUAGGGAGUGGAGGAAGAAAAAGGCCAGAAAAUUCCAUAGUUAGCAAAUAUACCUUUCUUACUUAAAAUUCUUUUUCCAAUGUGAGCCUUCUAAAGAGUUACUGAGAAAUUAGGUGAGCUCACCUCAUUUAAUGCAAUAGAUAUGUUUCUGAAAAAUAAGCAAUACAUAGGACAUUGGCCAAUUAAGAAUUCUGAUGAAGAAGAAUUUUCACAUCCGAAAGAGUAAAAAUGAAAAACGGUACAAAUGUAGUGGCUUUUAAAUUUCAAAACAAAUUAUUUUGAUAAGAUAAAUAUUCCUCUCAUAAAGUGAAAAUGGAAGAGACUGCUUGCUGGGUGUUCGUCAAAAUGGAGUUAGAUGGUCUGUCCCAGACUCCCCUGUUGUUAGUUCUGAGAACAGAAGUAAUGGUGCUUCUUCAGGACUGGCUCAUAGAAACCUGCCGUGUUCAGCCCCCACAAUCCUCUCCCUUCUGCUGGCUGGAAACAAAUGACAACGAAGCCUCACGUCUUGGAGAAACCACACUGCUGAGGAACUCAAGUCCUAGAAGAACCAUUUGAAGAGACCCAUCUCACUAAAGAAAAUCACACAAGCAAGAAGUAAACUUCAUUGUAUCUAUGUAUUUAAUUGUCAUAACAGUCUACCUUAACUGAUACAGCAAAAAUUCGCUCCUUUUCUGGACACCCAGUUUCAAAAUCUCAGUGUCAUUUUUUACUUCUCUCUUUUCAGGUUGUUUAAUAUAAUAAAAUUUGUGUGUGUGUGUGUGUGUGUGUGACAAGGUCUUGCUCUGUUGCCCAGGCUGGAGUGCAAUGGCACGCUCCCAGCCCACUACAGCCUUGACCUCCAAGCUCAAGUGUUCCUCCCACCUCAGCCUCCAGAGUAACUGGGACUACAGGCAUGGGCCACCACACCCGGCUAAUUUUUGUACUUUUUGUAGAGACAGGGUUUCACCAUGUUGCCCAGGCUGGUCUUGAACCCCUGGGCUCAAGCGAUCUGCCCAUCUCCACCUCCCAAAAUUCUAGGAUUACAGGCGUGAGCCACUACACCCAACCAUUUUAUUUUUAAAAGUUUUCUUUGCAAUAUUGCUCACAUUGUUUCCUUCCUUUUUAUUCUUAUUGUCACUCCCAAGUUCAGGCUUUUACCUCUUUUAUUUGAAGUAUUAAAGUAUACUUCUAAGU
rnacentral:lncRNA from 1 species